rnacentral:lncRNA from 1 species
UGUAGUGCAAAGAUGAAUGAUUUCUUGAUGAAUAUCUUUGGCCCGUAGUGCAAAGAUGAACAGGUGUUUAGAUGAACAUGACCAACUGGUGAAUGUCCUUGGCCUGUAGUGCAAGGAUGAAUAUUUGAUCCCAGAUAUAUAUUGAUUGAUGUUACAGGGAUAAAAAUAGACGAUGAACUUUAAAAUUCAUACAUAGAAGAUAGUAGUUUGCAUUCUCU